rnacentral:rRNA from 1 species
AACGAACGCUGGCGGCAUGCCUAACACAUGCAAGUCGAACGAGACCUUCGGGUCUAGUGGCGCACGGGUGGGUAACGCGGGGGAACCUGCCCUUAGGUUCGGAAUAACUCACCGAAAGGGGUGCUAAUACCAGAUAAUGUCUUCGGACCAAAGAUUUAUCGCCUUUGGAUUGGCCCGCGUUGGAUUAGAUUGUUGGUAGGGUAAAAGCCUACCAAGGCGACGAUCCAUAGCUGGUCUGAGAGGAUGAUCAGCCACACUGGGACUGAGACACGGCCCAGACUCCUACGGGAGGCAGCAGUGGGGAAUAUUGGACGAUGGGCGAGAGCCUGAUCCAGCAAUGCCGCGUGAGUGAUGAAGGCCUUAGGGUUGUAAAGCUCUUUUACCCGGGAUGAUAAUGACAGUACCGGGAGAAUAAGCUCCGGCUAACUCCGUG